AUUCACACUGGCGCGCAUGGUUUCCGCAAACACAAACAACCCUGUUCGGAACAACAAAGCCAAGGCAGGUUCUCACCCGUUAGCAAGCCGCUCCAAUGGCAACCCCCCGUGACAAUUUGAUGAGGGAAAAGAUGCCGAUGGAAACAUGCCUAUAAUUAAUAGCUAAUUGGUUCCGUCCUUUUCGACCUUGUUGCCAGAACGAGCUCAAGUCGUGUGUACAGGUGCCAUUUGUUUCCUCAAUUUGAUGCCCUGGACAAUGCCACAAGAUUUUCUUCAGUGUAAAACGGGAAAGGAAAUGUCAUCUCAUACCUCUUUCUUUGGCUUGAUCUCAAGUUGACCCACACAAACUGCCAUCAGGGAUUCAUCAAAAAUAGCCCUCCCUCCCCGGACCAAUCACGCUCCAAGCUGAACCAGGAUCAGCCUCGAGCUUUAGUGAGGUGUCCAUUAAAGACAGAAGCGUCGCUCCUUCAACAGCAUCGGGACCUGGGGCUAUAUCGCCCGGAUGCCCGGGGUCAGACACCCCAGCUCCUAGUCUAC